rnacentral:rRNA from 1 species
UACGAAGGGGGGCGAGCGUUUGUUCGGAAUCAUUGGGCGUAAAGAGCGUGUAGGCGGCCACUUAAGUCCUGCGUGAAAUCUUGUGGCUCAACCGCAAGCGGUCGUGGGAAACUGGGUGGCUAGAGUGCGGGAGAGGAGAGUGGAAUUCCUGGUGUAGCGGUGGAAUGCGCAGAUAUCAGGAAGAACACCCGUGGCGAAGGCGGCUCUCUGGAACGCAACUGACGCUGAGACGCGAAAAGCGUGGGGAGCAAACAGG